rnacentral:lncRNA from 1 species
AAAUAGUUUUUGCUUAUAUAACACCAUUCAAUUGAGGGGUGGGAUGAAUGAAACUUGUUUUAUAUUAACGUCCUUAUGUUUUAUUUAUAUAAAUGAUGCUGCCAGGCAGAUUCAACACAUAAGUGCCACUGAGGGAUUUUAGAGUGUGUAUGUGUGUAUGAAAUUUAUUAGGGUAGAAAUAAUGGUACCUCUGCAAAUAAUUGACAUAGAAUUUCUGAACACUGAAGCAUAUUAACCUAAAUGAGGGUCAAAACAAAACCGCGGAGGUCCAAGGCAACUUCGGAAGAGCUAGCUGUCAAUUAACAGGUGAUGGAACUAGAAGGAUAGUGGAACUGAGAACUGAUGCCUAAGCUAAGAAAAGAUAAAGGCAGUGCGCCCCCUGCAGGGCGGUGAGGUCCUUGCGAACAACGUCAGCGGUGUAUUGUGCUUUUGUGGAGCUAUUCCCUCAGUACAAGUCUACAGGCAGGGAAAGUCCGCCCUGCAACUUCAGCUUUUGCAUUUAAAGGACGUUUUUCCUGUGACAGGGGCUGAAAGCCGGUCUCUGUCAGCGGCCAGGAAGCGAAUUGCACUGCAGAGUGUGGGCAGCACGGCCAGAAACCACUGUGGGCAGAAAGCAAACCCGAUGGUGCGGCCUUCCACGGCAAGCGGACUGAGAAAAUGAUGCAGAAACAUGGAAAGCCACAACACUGUAGGAUCUGCUUCCUACAGCUGCUCUAAGAAAUGAUCAAAACUUAGUGACUGGAAGACAACAGAAGUCUUCUCCUAGAGUUCUCCAGGUCCAAAGCCCUUGGUUUCAGGACUAAAACCAAGAAGCCUGCCGCUGGUCUCUUCUGUGAGCGCUAGGGAGCCAUGGAUUUCCUUGAUGCCUCCGCAUCUGGAAGACAUGCAGAUGUGUAAUCACAGCUUCUUCCUCCUGGCUUUCCAGCCCUGCUUCCCUCCUCUUGCUGCAAUGACUGUGACCCUCCCUGAA